AGGAGGAACAGCCCUAGUGGCGGGGCAGCUCUGGAAACCUGGAUUCAGCUCCGGCAGGAACUCCGUCUGCAGGGCCUGGAGGCUCCGGGGCGGG
rnacentral:pre_miRNA from 1 species